GGAGGGUGCGAGCGUUAAUCGGAAUUACUGGGCGUAAAGCGCGCGUAGGCGGCUAGGUCAGUCGGAUGUGAAAGCCCCGGGCUUAACCUGGGAAUUGCAUUCGAAACUGCCUGGCUAGAGUAUGGGAGAGGGAAGUGGAAUUUCCGGUGUAGCGGUGAAAUGCGUAGAUAUCGGAAGGAACACCAGUGGCGAAGGCGACUUCCUGGCCCAAUACUGACGCUCAGGUGCGAAAGCGUGGGUAGCGAACAGGGAUUAGAUACCCUGGUAGUCCACGCCGUAAACGAUGAGAACUAGAUGUCGGGAGGAUUUGCCUUUCGGUGUCGCAGCUAACGCAUUAAGUUCUCCGCCUGGGGAUACGCCGGCAACGGUA
rnacentral:rRNA from 1 species